AGAGUUUGAUCCUGGCUCAGAACGAACGCUGGCGGCGUGGAUAAGACAUGCAAGUCGGACGGGACUAUUUCUAGUAGCAAUACCGGGAAUAGUUUAGUGGCGAACGGGUGCUUAACACGUGGGCAACCUGCCAGGAAGUGGGGGAUAGCUCGCCGAAAGGCGAAUUAAUACCGCAUGUGAUUAGAGAGGACAUCCUUUCGAAAUUAAAGUCGGGGCAACCUGACGCUUCUUGUGGGGCCCGCGGCCUAUCAGCUAGUUGGUGAGGUUACGGCUCACCAAGGCUUUGACGGGUAGCUGGUCUGAGAGGACGACCAGCCACACUGGGACUGAGACACGGCCCAGACACCUACGGGUGGCAGCAGUCGAGAAUUUUUGACAAUGGGGGAAACCCUGAUCGAGCGACGCCGCGUGGAGGAUGAAGGUCUUCGGAUUGUAAACUCCUGUCAUUGGGGAACAAUGCACAGAUAUUAACUGUAUUUGUGUUGAUAGUACCCGAAGAGGAAGAGACGGCUAACUCUGUGCCAGCAGCCGCGGUAAUACAGAGGUCUCAAGCGUUGUUCGGAUUCAUUGGGCGUAAAGGGUGCGUAGGCGGCGCGGUAAGUCGGGUGUGAAAUCUUGGAGCUUAACUCCGAAACUGCAUUCGAUACUGCCGUGCUUGAGGACUGGAGAGGAGACUGGAAUUUACGGUGUAGCGGUGAAAUGCGUAGAUAUCGUAAGGAAGACCAGUGGCGAAGGCGGGUCU
rnacentral:rRNA from 1 species